AACGAACGCUGGCGGCAGGCUUAACACAUGCAAGUCGAACGCAUCCUUCGGGGUGAGUGGCAGACGGGUGAGUAACGCGUGGGAACAUGCCCUUCAGUUCGGAAUAACCCAGGGAAACUUGGGCUAAUACCGGAUACGUGCGAGAGCAGAAAGAUUUAUCGCUGAAGGAGUGGCCCGCGUCUGAUUAGCUAGUUGGUGAGGUAAAGGCUCACCAAGGCGACGAUCAGUAGCUGGUCUGAGAGGAUGAUCAGCCACACUGGGACUGAGACACGGCCCAGACUCCUACGGGAGGCAGCAGUGGGGAAUAUUGGACAAUGGGCGCAAGCCUGAUCCAGCCAUGCCGCGUGAGUGAUGAAGGCCUUAGGGUUGUAAAGCUCUUUCGGCGGGGACGAUAAUGACGGUACCCGCAGAAGAAGCCCCGGCUAACUUCGUGCCAGCAGCCGCCGCGG
rnacentral:rRNA from 1 species